rnacentral:rRNA from 1 species
GACAGAGGUGCCGAGCGUUAGGCGGAAUCACUGGGCUUAAAGCGUGUGUAGGCGGGCGAUCAAGUACCUUGUGAAAUCCCACGGCUCAACCGUGGAACCGCUGGGUAUACUGGUUGUCUUGAGCCGGCUAGGGGCGAGCGGAACAGACGGUGGAGCGGUGAAAUGCGUAGAUAUCAGGAAGAACACCAAUGGCGAAGGCAGCUCGCUGGGACGGUACUGACGCUGAGACGCGAAAGCAUGGGGAGCAAACAGG